GCCAGGCAUGGUGGUGCGUGCCUGUAGUCCCAGCUACUCAGGAGGCUGAGGCAAGAGAAUCGCUUGAACCCAGGAGGUGGAGGUUGCAGUGAGCCAAGAUCAUGCCAUUGCACUCCGCCUGGGUGACAGAGUGAGACUCUGUCUCUA
rnacentral:SRP_RNA from 2 species